AAUGUUUAAUUUGAACAAAAUAAUGAAAAUAUUGUCAAACAAUAAACUAUAAAUAUAAUAAAGAAUAAUAUUACCUAUGCCAAUGUUUUUCAUGGGUAAGUUUUUUAUAAGAAACAUUACUUAUUUAGUAAAUUAUCUUUAUAAAUAAUUAAAUUAUUUUUCUAGAGAAUUAAAAUGUACGUGAUUAUUCAUUGUGAUGACAACAAUGUUCAUGAUAUAAACGAUAACAAUCGUCAUAAUAUGAAUUAUUUUAGAAAUAUGAAUAUGAAUCUGCAAUUAAGGUUUCUUAAUUAUACAAAAAUCAGACGAGAUUUAAGAAGCAGAAUUCUACCAUUAUUUAAAAAUACGUUUUUAACCGAAAUCUAUAAAGGACAAAAAAAAUUUCCAAAGAAAAAAUUCCUGUAAUGUUGCAAUUUCUAUUAAGUGACAAAAGUAUUAGUGAAAGGCUAUCACAAAUAUUUGACACAUUUUUCUUUCUUUUUUAUUUGAAUACCGUUGUUACAUCGAACAGUUUUUUGGUUACACAACAAUAUUUUUUAAACUUUCAUUUUCAUUCGCACUCAAUACUUUCUCGCCACUGAACGACGAAUUUAUAUAUGUUAUUUUAAUUUGGUGAUCAACUUCAAUUUUUGUUAUACAUAUUUUGAACUUCAAGA